UUGGUGACUUGUGUUAGUGAAUUGGCCUUAGAUGCUCCAACAAAUAAGAAAAUGUUAUCUGUAAGAGACAGAGUUAUUUUGACAAUGGUAAAAAUUAAACAAAAUAUGUCAUUUAGAGCCAUUGGUGUUUUGUUUGGUAUAAACAGGCAGACAUGUUCUAAUUAUUUUAAUAAUAUGUGCCCCAUGCUGAGUAGAGUACUCAAAGUUAUUAUUCCUUGGCCUGAUAUCGAAAUGAUCCGUAGCAACCUACCUAAAUCAUUCCAAAAAUAUAAAAAUACAAGAAUAAUAUUCGACUGUGUUGAAACUGUGAUUGAAAAAUGUAAAUGUUUAAAAUGUAGAAUAUUGACAUACUCUCAAUAUAAAAAAAACAAUACAGCCAAGUUUAAUAUUGGAAUAACUCCUUCUGGACUUAUAACUGAAAUAAGUGCAUCUUAUGGUGGUCGAGCAUCAGAUAAACAUAUUGUAAAUAAAUCAGGAAUCUUAAAUAAAUGCGAGUUUAAUGAUGGAGUGAUGGUGGAUAAAGGAUACAGGAUUGAAUCCGAGUGUAAUGAACGUCUGCUUCAGCUUGUCAGGCCUCCUUUCUUGAGUCAGAAAAAGCAGAUGACCAAAGAAGAUGCAAUCCGCACUGCAGAGAUUGCACGGGCAAGAGUGCAUGUUGAGAGAGUGAUACAGAGAUUACGACAAUAUAAACUUCUAUGUGGACCAUUACCAUGGUCACUGGCGUCUUAUUUUGAUGAUAUAUUAAUUAUUGUUGGUGGUCUUACAAAUUUGGGUCCACCAAUUAUUCACAUUGAUAAAUUUAUGUAGUUAUUAUAUAAUCGGAAGGGAAUUUUGUAAGAGUGGCAAUAAAUUUUUACAGUGAAUAAAUAAUUUAGUACACAGAGUUGUAUUUAUUUUUAUUCAAAUUCAGUCAUAAUUUGAUCCAUAGUCGUUAACUAUUCUAGGAAGAAAUUUCUCAAAAUAAACAUUAACAAGACA